rnacentral:ribozyme from 1 species
UGAAGCUAUACUUCGCUGAUACGGGGGUUUAUCCUAAGCCUCUAGAAGGUUAACAUAGGCUCUCCACCCCCUAACCCUACUCAACAUGUCCCCGUCGUACAGAACGGUAACAUGUCUCUCAAUUAUCCAAGCUGGGUAUACGGGGAAACCCAACCACUUGGGCGGAUGGGUUGCAUGGCUAAAUUGAGAGGG